ACAGUUUGAUUCUGGCUCAUGACGAACGCUGGCGGCGUGCUUAACACAUGCAAGUUUAGCGGUAAGGCCCUUUCGGGGGUACACGAGCGGGGAACGGGUGAGUAACACCUGGGUGACCUGCCCUCAACUCUGGGAUAAGCCUGGGAAACCGGGUCUAAUACCGGAUAGGACCUCAUGUCGCAUGGUGUGGGGUGGAAAGCCUUGUGCGGCUGGGGAUGGGCCCGCGGCCUAUCAGCUUGUUGGUGGGGUGAUGGCCUACCAAGGCGACGACGGGUAGCCGGCCUGAGAGGGCGAUCGGCCACACUGGGACUGACACACGGCCCAAACUCCUACGGGAGGCAGCAGUGGGGAAUUUUGCGCAAUGGGCGGAAGCCUGACGCAGCGACGCCGCGUGAGGGAUGACGGCCUUCGGGUUGUAAACCUCUUUCAGCCUUGACGAAGCCUCUUCGGGGGUGACGGUAGGGGUAGAAGAAGCACCGGCCAACUACGUGCCAGCAGCCGCGGUAAUACGUAGGGUGCAAGCGUUGUCCGGAAUUAUUGGGCGUAAAGAGCUCGUAGGCGGUCUGUCGCGUCGGCUGUGAAAUCCCGGGGCUCAACCCCCGGCUUGCACUCGAUACNGGCAGGCUAGAGUUCGGCAGGGGAGACUGGAAUUCCUGGUGUAGCUGAGAAAUGCGCAGAUAUCACGAGGAACACCGGUGGUGAACGCGCGUCUCUGGGCCGAUACUGACGCUGACGAGCGUAAGCGUGGGGUGCGAACAGGAUUACAUACCCUGGUAGUCGACGCCCUAAACGUUGGGCGCUAGGUGUGGGAUCCCUUCCCCGGAUCCGUGUUGCAGCUAACGUAUUAAGUGCCCCGCCUGCGAGUACGGUCCGCAAGGAUACAACUCAAAUGUAUAGACGAG
rnacentral:rRNA from 1 species